UCUGGGAUAGUGAUCGAUCGGUGUUUCGCUUCGGGGAUUUGGAAAUGACUCCUUUACUGGAAGAAAUAGGGGGUCGAGCUGGUAUCCCUUGGGAGACUCCAGGUAUGCUUAUGCCGGAAAACCGCAAAAGUAGAGGCUUUCUUAAAAUGAUGGGACUCAAGAAAAAUCCUGACCUAGCUUGUCUGAAGGACAGAGUUUAGCUGGUAUCCCUUGGGAGACUCUGGAUCUGCUUAUGUCAAAAAAUCGCAAAUGUAGAGGCUUCCAUAAGAUGAUGGGACUCAACAAAAAUACCAACCUAGCUUGUCUCAAGGACUCCUACAUACUAUUUGAUUUCUUGU
rnacentral:lncRNA from 1 species